rnacentral:lncRNA from 1 species
UUUUAUCGAAAUUUCAUGAAAUUUAAUAUCAAAAAUUUCGAGACAUUACAAAGUUAUAUAACCAUAAAUACAAUUAACACUAGUAUAGUCAUGGAAUAAAUUUAUGACCAUUUGAGUACUUAAUUAUUCAUUCCCUUCCAAUCAAUUAUAUUUAAUCAUAUAUAUUAUAAAGUACGGUUUAAUAGCAAAAAUGGUAACAAGCUUUGCCGCCAUAGUUUACCAAAUCCUGACUAUUAUGUCUUACUUUCUUUUUUAUUGUGCUUCCCUUCCAAGGUAAAAAUGUCUCCUUUUUGUUUUGUUGAAACCCUAGCCCUCCAAGGGAUGUAUGAUCACUGUCGUCAUCUUCUCUGACCCAAAUAAUGGCACCGAAAUGUGGCUCUUAUUCCUCUUUCACCUUAUCAUGUCAAGUUUUGCUAAAAAACCUCAAAAUUUAGAGAUCUUCAAACGAGAUACGAAGAAACGAUGCUUCCAUAAGUCAUAUCUUCCAUCUAAUGAACCUAACUUCAAAC